rnacentral:rRNA from 1 species
AUCCUACGGGGGGCAGCAGUGAGGAAUAUUGGUCAAUGGGCGGAAGCCUGAACCAGCCAAGUCGCGUGAGGGAAUAAGGCCCUACGGGUCGUAAACCUCUUUUGCCGGGGAGCAAGGGCCGGGACGCGUCCCGGCCCGGAGAGUACCCGGAGAAAAAGCAUCGGCUAACUCCGUGCCAGCAGCCGCGGUAAUACGGAGGAUGCGAGCGUUAUCCGGUUUUAUUGGGUUUAAAGGGUGCGUAGGCGGGCUUUUAAGUCAGCUGUAAUAAUUCAGGGAUCAACCCCGUCCUGCCGUUG